GGGAUUGUAGUUCAAUUGGUCAGAGCCCCGCCCUGUCAAGGCGGAAGCUGCGGGUUCGAGCCCCGUCAGUCCCG
rfam:Triticum urartu cultivar G1812 contig459312, whole genome shotgun sequence.